rnacentral:rRNA from 1 species
GAUGAACGCUGGCGGCGUGCUUAACACAUGCAAGUCGAACGAUGAAGCCCAGCUUGCUGGGUGGAUUAGUGGCGAACGGGUGAGUAACACGUGAGUAACCUGCCCUUAACUCUGGGAUAAGCCUGGGAAACUGGGUCUAAUACCGGAUAGGAGCGCCUACCGCAUGGUGGGUGUUGGAAAGAUUUAUCGGUUUUGGAUGGACUCGCGGCCUAUCAGCUUGUAGGUGAGGUAAUGGCUCACCAAGGCGACGACGGGUAGCCGGCCUGAGAGGGUGACCGGCCACACUGGGACUGAGACACGGCCCAGACUCCUACGGGAGGCAGCAGUGGGGAAUAUUGCACAGUGGGCGAAAGCCUGAUGCAGCGACGCCGCGUGAGGGAUGACGGCCUUCGGGUUGUAAACCUCUUUCAGUAGGGAAGAAGCGAAAGUGACGGUACCUGCAGAAGAAGCACCGGCUAACUACGUG